rnacentral:rRNA from 1 species
ACGGGAUCCCAGGAGCUUGCUCCUGGGUGAGAGUGGCGAACGGGUGAGUAAUGCGUGACCGACCUGCCCCAUACACCGGAAUAGCUCCUGGAAACGGGUGGUAAUGCCGGAUGCUCCAGUUGACCGCAUGUCCUUCUGGGAAAGAUUUUGCGGUAUGGGAUGGGGUCGCGUCCUAUCAGCUUGAUGGCGGGGUAACGGCCCACCAUGGCUUCCACGGGUAGCCGGCCUGAGAGGGCGACCGGCCACAUUGGGACUGAAAUACGGCCCAGACUCCUACGGGAGGCAGCAGUGGGGAAUAUUGCACAAUGGGCGCAAGCCUGAUGCAGCGACGCCGCGUGCGGGAUGACGGCCUUCGGGUUGUAAACCGCUUUUGACUGGGAGCAAGCCCUUCGGGGUGAGUGUACCUUUCGAAUAAGCACCGGCUAACUACGUGCCAGCAGCCGCGGUAAUACGUAGGGUGCAAGCGUUAUCCGGAAUUAUUGGGCGUAAAGGGCUCGUAGGCGGUUCGUCGCGUCCGGUGUGAAAGUCCAUCGCUUAACGGUGGAUCCGCGCCGGGUACGGGCGGGCUUGAGUGCGGUAGGGGAGACUGGAAUUCCCGGUGUAACGGUGGAAUGUGUAGAUAUCGGGAAGAACACCAAUGGCGAAGGCAGGUCUCUGGGCCGUCACUGACGCUGAGGAGCGAAAGCGUGGGGAGCGAACAGGAUUAGAUACCCUGGUAGUCCACGCCGUAAACGGUGGAUGCUGGAUGUGGGGACCAUUCCACGGUCUCCGUGUCGGAGCCAACGCGUUAAGCAUCCCGCCUGGGGAGUACGGCCGCAAGGCUAAAACUCAAAGAAAUUGACGGGGGCCCGCACAAGCGGCGGAGCAUGCGGAUUAAUUCGAUGCAACGCGAAGAACCUUACCUGGGCUUGACAUGUUCCCGACAGCCCCAGAGAUGGGGCCUCCCUUCGGGGCGGGUUCACAGGUGGUGCAUGGUCGUCGUCAGCU